rnacentral:rRNA from 1 species
CAAUAGCGUAUAUUAAAGUUGUUGCGGUUAAAAAGCUCGUAGUUGGAUUUCUGCCGAGGACGACCGGUCCGCCCUCUGGGUGAGUAUCUGGCUCGGCCUGGGCAUCUUCUUGGAGAACGUAGCUGCACUUGACUGUGUGGUGCGGUAUCCAGGACUUUUACUUUGAGGAAAUUAGAGUGUUUCAAGCAGGCUUACGCCUUGAAUACAUUAGCAUGGAAUAAUAAGAUAGGACCUCGGUUCUAUUUUGUUGGUUUCUAGAGCUGAGGUAAUGAUUAAUAGGGAUAGUUGGGGGCAUUCGUAUUUAACUGUCAGAGGUGAAAUUCUUGGAUUUGCUGAAGAUGAACAACUGCGAAAGCAUUUACCAAGGAUGUUUUCAUUAA